rnacentral:rRNA from 1 species
CUUAGCGUUGCUAAGGCCGAUGGCGACCGGCGGCACGGGUGAGUAACACGUAUCCAACCUGCCGUCUACUCUUGGACAGCCUUCUGAAAGGAAGAUUAAUACAAGAUGGCAUCAUGAGUCCACAUGUUCACAUGAUUAAAGGUAUUCCGGUAGACGAUGGGGAUGCGUUCCAUUAGAUAGUAGGCGGGGUAACGGCCCACCUAGUCUUCGAUGGAUAGGGGUUCUGAGAGGAAGGUCCCCCACAUUGGAACUGAGACACGGUCCAAACUCCUACGGGAGGCAGCAGUGAGGAAUAUUGAUCAAUGGGCGAGAGCCUGAACCAGCCAAGUAGCGUGAAGGAUGACUGCCCUAUGGGUUGUAAACUUCUUUUAUAAAGGAAUAAAGUCGGGUAUGCCUACCCGUUUGCAUGUACUUUAUGAAUAAGGAUCGGCUAACUCCGUGCCAUCAGCCGCGGUAAUACGGAGGAUCCGAGCGUUAUCCGGAUUUAUUGCGUUUAAAGGGAGCGUAGAUGGAUGUUUAAGUCAGUUGUGAAACUUUGCGGCUUCAACCGUAAAAUUGCAGUUGAUACUGGAUAUCGUGAGUGCAGUUGAGGCAGGGGGAAUUCGUGGUGUAGCGGUGAAAUGCUUAGAUAUCACGAAGAACUCCGAUUGCGAAGGCAGCCUGNUAAGCUGCAACUGACAUUGAGGCUCGAAAGUGUGGGUAUCAAACAGGAUUAGAUACCCUGGUAGUCCACACGGUAAACGAUGAAUACUCGCUGUUUGCGAUAUACAGCAAGCGGCCAAGCGAAAGCGUUAAGUAUUCCACCUGGGGAGUACGCCGGCAACGGUGAAACUCAAAGGAAUUGACGGGGGCCCGCACAAGCGGAGGAACAUGUGGUUUAAUUCGAUGAUACGCGAGGAACCUUACCCGGGCUUAAAUUGCAGAUGAAUUACGGUGAAAGCCGUAAGCCGCAAGGCAUCUGUGAAGGUGCUGCAUGGUUGUCGUCAGCUCGUGCCGUGAGGUGUCGGCUUAAGUGCCAUAACGAGCGCAACCCUUGUUGUCAGUUACUAACAGGUUCUGCUGAGGACUCUGACAAGACUGCCAUCGUAAGAUGUGAGGAAGGUGGGGAUGACGUCAAAUCAGCACGGCCCUUACGUCCGGGGCUACACACGUGUUACAAUGGGGGGUACAGAGGGCCGCUACCACGCGAGUGGAUGCCAAUCCCAAAAACCUCUCUCAGUUCGGACUGGAGUCUGCAACCCGACUCCACGAAGCUGGAUUCGCUAGUAAUCGCGCAUCAGCCACGGCGCGGUGAAUACGUUCCCGGGCCUUGUACACACCGCC